UACGGGGGGGGCAAGCGUUGUUCGGAAUUACUGGGCGUAAAGGGUUCGUAGGUGGCCAACUAAGUCAGACGUGAAAUCCCUCAGCUUAACUGGGGAACUGCGUCUGAUACUGGUUGGCUUGAGUGCAGGAGAGGAACGCGGAAUUCCAGGUGUAGCGGUGAAAUGCGUAGAUAUCUGGAGGAACACCGGUGGCGAAGGCGGCAUCCUGGACCAUUACUGACGCUGAGGCGCGAAAGCUAGGGGAGCAAACGGG
rnacentral:rRNA from 1 species